rnacentral:rRNA from 1 species
GAACGAAGCGUGCCGGAGGAAGUUUUCGGAUGGAAUCCGGGAUGACUGAGUGGCGGACGGGUGAGUAACGCGUGGGUAACCUGCCCUGUACAGGGGGACAACAGUUAGAAAUGACUGCUAAUACCGCAUAAGCGCACAGGACCGCAUGGUCCGGUGUGAAAAACUCCGGUGGUACAGGAUGGACCCGCGUCUGAUUAGGUAGUUGGCGGGGUAACGGCCCACCAAGCCGACGAUCAGUAGCCGACCUGAGAGGGUGACCGGCCACAUUGGGACUGAGACACGGCCCAAACUCCUACGGGAGGCAGCAGUGGGGAAUAUUGCACAAUGGGGGGAACCCUGAUGCAGCGACGCCGCGUGAGUGAAGAAGUAUUUCGGUAUGUAAAGCUCUAUCAGCAGGGAAGAAAAUGACGGUACCUGACUAAGAAGCCCCGGCUAACUACGUGCCAGCAGCCGCGGUAAUACGUAGGGGGCAAGCGUUAUCCGGAUUUACUGGGUGUAAAGGGAGCGUAGACGGCAGAGCAAGUCUGAAGUGAAAGCCCGCGGCUCAACUGCGGGACUGCUUUGGAAACUGCCCGGCUAGAGUGCUGGAGAGGUAAGCGGAAUUCCUAGUGUAGCGGUGAAAGGCGUAGAUUUUUGAGGGAACACCAGNGGCGAAGGCGGCNNACNGGACAGNAACNGACGNNGAGGCUCGAAAGCGGGGGGGGCCUUUUAGGACCCCCCCCCCCCCCCCCCCCCAACCCCAAGGGCCUUNUAUGGAAGGGGGUGGGCAAAGCCCAUCGGUGCCGCCGCAAACGCAGUAAGUAUUCCACCUGGGGAGUACGUUCGCAAGAAUGAAACUCAAAGGAAUUGACGGGGACCCGCACAAGCGGUGGAGCAUGUGGUUUAAUUCGAAGCAACGCGAAGAACCUUACCAGGUCUUGACAUCGGGGCGGCAGGCUCGUAACGGAGCCGUUCCUUCGGGACGCCCCAGACAGGUGGUGCAUGGCUGUCGUCAGCUCGUGUCGUGAGAUGUUGGGUUAAGUCCCGCAACGAGCGCAACCCUUAUCCUAAGUAGCCAGCAGGUAAAGCCGGGCACUCUUGGGAGACUGCCAGGGAUAACUUGGAGGAAGGUGGGGAUGACGUCAAAUCAUCAUGCCCCUUAUGAUCUGGGCUACACACGUGCUACAAUGGCGUAAACAAAGAGAGGCGAAAGGGCGACCUGGAGCAAACCUCAAAAAUAACGUCUCAGUUCGGACUGCAGGCUGCAACCCGCCUGCACGAAGCCGGAAUCGCUAGUA